AUCGCAGUGAACUGUGAGCUUAGUUUUCCUCCAUGAUGGAAUCCCUCCUUGGCUAACAACAGUUUAUACGACAAAGACAAAUAAACAGAAGAAGAGCAAGCUAAAAAGAAAGUAUUAGACCAAGCCUGAGAUAAAACAAGGGUAAACAUCAGCGUGGCUUUUCAGAGGUAGAAGGAGCUACAGGACCUGAAGGGAUUCAUUACAGAUGCUGAGUUAGCCACAUUUCUGCUUGAUAGGUCAACUGCAGAGCUGGAGUCCUUUCCAUAAUCACAUUCUGAUGUAUGCCAAGAAGCGCUUCAGCCUCAGCCCUCCAGUCUAUGAAGCCCCGAAUCUUGCUAGCUGGCCUGGACUACAACCACCAUGUCCAUGGACCACCCAAGAGAAGGCCUGAUGGCUCUAUAGAGCAUGUUAUAAGCAUAAUAAAUGUUAUCAAGACUACUAGGUGAUUGAGAUACCGCAAACUCUAUGAUAAGGAGGAGGAAGUGGAGUUUGUAUGCCAUAAAGGGGGAAAAGGACGACAGCUAAUAAUGAAACUGGUGUCCUCAGGAUGUGGGCUGCCUCUACAACAACCAUGAGGCCAGAUGACUCAUGUCAACAUGGAGUGCUGUCUAGUGUGCCAGCUCCAACCACCAAGGAGCUAUUGGAGACAGCAGGGGGCAGGUCAGACAUUACCACAGACUGCACUUUGAGGAAUCAAGAAUCAUAUCUUCCAGCACAAAUCAAAGUUUAUUUUGACCUUUAAUAAUUGACACCUACAUACCUAUGCAAUAUUACUCUGCAGCCAACCUACUUUGAUUUAUUCCUAUGCAAAAUAAAGCUCGACAACAUUUCUAAAGUGUUAUUACUUGUUUUUGGGGUAUGUGACUCCUCGGACAUUGCUUUUGAGACAUUGCAUGCCUAGUAUUGACCCAGUGAUUCUAAUUUCUCCAACUGAAGGUUAUAGUGUUUUAAAUUGGUCCAAAAGGUUUUUCGAUAAUAUAAUAUGGUAUAGUGGUAUA